UCAUUGUUGAUUUCACUUGUUAUAGGGGAGAGAUUCUAGGGCUGCAGAUAAGACUGUUGCCAUGGUCCUGAAGGAGAUACCCAGUAAGGCGUCUUCAGAAGUGAAACCCCUCCUCACGGUGACAACCAAGCUGGUGAGUGAGCAACAAGAGAGCCGCCCCCUGCUAAGCCCCUCCAUCGACGACUUUCUCUGUGAGACCAAGUGCCAUGGCGCUGCCCGCCUAGUGACUUCGAACACAGCAGUUCUGUCCUCCACAUUGGAUCUAUUGGACCUCAGCGAGCCCGGAGAGAGAAGGAACAGCAAGCAGGACAAGAAGAGCCCUCUGCUGUCACGUGGGGACGGGCCUAAGAACAUGCCUCACCGGAAAAAGACGACGGACGAGACCGAGCUGAUCCAGGUGGAUGUAGAGCAGACUGUCCCCUGUCCCCACACUCCUGAAAGAGUGUCACUUGACUCAGUCAACAUUGCCUCUCCUUUGGAGAAAUGGGAGGAGCUCAAUGUCCACACUGAACGAAACAGCAGCAGAAAGUGGAAAUUGGAGAGACGGGGUUCAUCGAAAAACUCCUCCAGUGAACUUCUGUGGUCCAUAGACUGCAAAACGCAAUCAGAGCCACCCUCCAAGAGCUCUUUGGAAGUAAAUACCAUAGCAGAGGCCGAGCCAGCUCUAGCAUUUCAACUCAACAGACAGUAUAUUAGUGGAAGACAUGGCCGUUUGAGUAAAGAGCGGUUCGGUGGCGGUGCCCUCCUGUCCAGAAACCAGUCCCUGGAGGAAGAGUUUGAGCGAGCCAAAGCAGCUGUGGAGUCAGACACAGAGUUCUGGGACAAGAUGCAAGCAGAGUGGGAGGAGCUAGCACGACGGAACUGGCUAACGGAGAACGAGCAGGCGCAGAUCCCCUCCAGUGUGUCGCCUCACGAGAAGGGUUACUACUUCCACAUGGACAAUCCCUACAAGGACUGGCCCAACGCGUUUGAGGAGGGUCUUCGAAAGUCCAAAGAGGGAGACCUGCCCAACGCUGUGCUGCUACUGGAGGGGGCCAUCUUGCAGGACCCCCAGGACUCAGAGGCUUGGCAAGUGUUGGGGACCACCCAGGCCGAGAACGAAAACGAGCAGGCAGCUAUCGUCUCCCUCCAGAGGUGUCUCGAGCUCCACCCCAAUAACCUCCAAGCCCUCAUGGCCCUGGCGGUGAGCCUGACCAACACGGGCAUGAGGCAGGAUGCAUGCGAGGCGUUGCUGCGCUGGCUCCGUCACAACUCCAAGUACAAGCACCUGCUGAAGGGCAAGAGCCACCUGGCGGGCUCCCCGGGCUCCCAACGUAGGAUGUCUCGCGUCUCAACUGUGGGCAGAUAUGAGAGCUCUCUACUGCCUGAGGUGAAGGAUCUGUUUCUGGAGGCAGCCCAGCACAACAGGGACACCGACCCGGACCUGCAGACGGGCCUGGGUGUGUUGUUCAACAUUAGCGCAGAGUUCAACAAAGCUGUGGAGGCCUUCAAUGCUGCCUUGACGGUGCGGCCAGAGGACUACCUGCUGUGGAACCGCCUGGGGGCCACGCUGGCUAACGGGGACCGCAGCGAGGAGGCGGUAGAGGCCUACACCCGAGCCCUGGAGCUCCAGCCGGGCUUCAUUAGAUCCCGUUACAACCUGGGCAUCAGCUGCAUCAACCUAGGAGCACACCGGGAGGCGGCCAGUAACUUCCUAACAGCCCUGAGUCUGCAGAGGAAGAGCCGUAGUCAGCAGCUCUCGCAACAGGUCAUGUCGGGGAACAUCUGGGCCGCCCUGCGGAUAGCCCUCUCCAUGAUGGACCAGCCGGAGCUCUUCCAGGCAGCCAACAUCGGAGACUUGGACCUCCUCAUGAAAGCCUUCAACCUGGACAUGUGAGUGGAGAUGGGCCUUGGAGACAAGUCUCUACUCUCCUACCAACAGGCCUUGGAGACAAGUCUCUACUCUCCUACCAACAGGCCUUGGAGACAAGUCUCUACUCUCCUACCAACAGGCAUUGGAGACAAGUCUCUACUCUCCUACCAACAGGCAUUGGAGACGAGUCUCUACACUCCUACCAACAGGCCUUGGAGACAAGUCUCUACUCUCCUACCAACAGGCCUUGGAGACGAGCCUCUUCUCUCCUACCAACAGGCCUGGGAGAAGAGUCUCUACUCUCCUACCAACAGGCCUUGGAGACAAGUCUACUCUCCUACCAACAGGCAUUGGAGACAAGUCUCUACUCUCCUACCAACAGGCCUUGGAGACGAGUCUCUACACUCCUACCAACAGGCCUGGGAGAAGAGAGUCUCUACACUCCUACCAACAGGCCUGGGAGAAGAGUCUCUACUCUCCUACCAACAGGCCUGGGAGAAGAGUCUCUACACUCCUACCAACAGGCCUGGGAGAAGAGUCUCUACACUCCUAUCAACAGGCCUGGGUGAAGAGUCUCUACACUCCUAUCAACAGGCCUGGGAGAAGAGUCUCUAAACUCCUACCAAAUGCCAAAAACCCAAAGUGUACAGUUGGAAAGAGCUGUUUUGUCAUGUUAAUGAUGAGUGUGUGGUCUAUUUUGGCGAGCACUACAACAUCUUUACUACUCCUCAGUACCUCUGCAGUCUUCUUGAGUACUGCAUGUGCUCGAAGAGUCUAUUUUGCGAUGGAUUUGCACUGCAAUUUGUGAUUUCCCCGAAGAGCACAAGGACGGGCAAAGACUGUACAAGUAAUGCCUUAGAGAACACAGUAAUUAAAACUAACUCAUUGGAACUGAGCAAGAGAGAGAAAGAGAAAUACUGAGAAUGCUUUUGCUGAACAGUGUUGAGGGUUGACAAGAACGGUUUCCUCAUCCAGAUACUUUUAGAGUGUCCGGAUUAUCACACUGACCUAAAGGAAGGAUUUAGUGAGUAAAAUCAAUAAAGACUACACCAUAAGCCGUGGGACUCGGAGACAGUUUUCAGCAGAGAAUCAAUAUUCUUUUUUUGGGGGGUUGGUUUUUAUCCUCUUUUCUGUGAGGAACAACACUGCAUGGAAACUAAAGCAUGUUCCUAAAUGGAUUCGGUGGCACUUGCCUGAACCUAAAAGCUAAGAACUUUUUUUCCUUACUUGGGACUCUGCACUUUGAAAAACAAACAGAUCAUUUCCUCUUAUCUUAAUGAAACGAGACAGAUUGUAAAAGCAUUACCGUAAACGCAUGCUAAAACGAAAUUGAUUUACACAAUUUUUAUGGCAACCAAUGUAAGCCAUUUUCAGAUUCAUUUUUUGACUUCCUCGAAUACCUGACAUCCUCCGAAUUCUUCACGUUUUGUGGUGUUUCCAGCUCCUCAUUUCACUUUACCCUAACUGGUUUGAGAGAAGCACACAUUAGCUGGACAAGAUGGACCUGUAUUUUUCACUCAGAGCUGGGAAAUGGUUGGAACAGUCCAGUAGCAAACGCAAGACGAGGAAAACAGAGAAGUCUUUUGUGUAUGGAAUCACUGUUGAAAACAUCAAGGAGCCAGAGCCAACUGCGGAGACACAGCACAUAUGCGCACGCUGCUGGCAAUCUGCAUAGGAGGUUAGCUUUGAAGACCAGAAAACACAUCGCGGACUGUACAACGUCAAAGGCAACUGGGCCAACACGUUAUGGCAUCCUUCCAUUUAUUAAUUCAUUUAGUCUGUUGCCCAACUACCCCAACAAGAUGAUAUUAUUUCAGUCCCACCCAGCGAGCAAAGGCGGUUGAGAUCUAGUUGUAACCAAUCAUGAUCGUCACUGCGAUCAUGAUUGACUACGUCUUAGUGAGUCAUAGAACGAUGGCUGACAACUCUACACUGUAGAUUUAUAUGGAAAAUAGUAUUGAGAACAGAAUUGUUUUUAUUCCAAAGUGCAUAAUUUACAGAAAAUGUUUUCUGUCCCCAUGUCUCCUAGUUGCCCUUUACUGUCAGCAGCAUAUACACUGUAGUACAAUGCUGAACCAGGAUUUACUGUAUCAAGUGAUUUCUUCAAAAUCACUCUGAUUUCUUAUGGUCUAGUAAGCCUGUGCUUCUUGAACAAAAAUAAAUGUAGUUAUGUAGAAGAUUAAAUUAUUUUUUUAACAGUUUUUGAAUUAUUGGAUUACCAACUAUAUAUAUAUAUAUAUAUUACUGUAGAAUUUAUAUUGAUGUGUGUUGAGUUAGGAUGCCCGAUGACAAAGUACCUUUUCUAGAACAGUUGACCUUCUCAGGUGUGAUGACCUAGCUACACCUAACAUAGUCCAGGUUGAAUGCAUGCUAGAUCUUCUAUGCUUUAUUUUGAAUGAUCUUAUAUUUUCAUGCAUGCAGGGCUUUUCUUUCCCCUAAUUCUAAAAACAAAAUAUAGCAUGAUGUUACAUAGCAAUAUUUUUCCAAUCCACUUUUAAAACGUCUUCAUUUUAUGAAAUGUAACAUACCUAUUGUAUAUUGUGCACAACAUACAAUAACAAAACAUUUGCAGUGAAUCUGGAGAGAAACCAAAAGUAGUGCUCUCUAACUGACUACCGAGUGCAGGUCUCGGCCCACACGCCAACCGUUUGGCUAAAGGGUUUCGGAUCCUCUCAGGCGUGUAUACAACUGAAUGACCACAACGCUUCCUGCUCAGUGUAAUAGCAUUAAGUCCUGCAAUUUUCAAUAAUGUCUCUGUGUCUCGUGUACGAUACAUUUCAUUGUACCCUGCUGGUUUACUCUGGUUUGUUUCUAUAGCUGAUAUACAAGUAUGAAUAGAUCUAUUAAUAUUUUUGAUGCCUUAAAAAAAAAUGAAAUACUUUACAGUGUACCAACAAUGCAUAAUAAAUACUCUCCCGAUGUCCCUAAAACACUAGUCAAGCAUCACACACCUUUCAGACAUAUGAUAUGAAAGUUGUCUUUUAAAAUAAACUUGUAAAAUAUUCAAA